rnacentral:rRNA from 1 species
GAUGAACGCUAGCGGCAGGCUUAAUACAUGCAAGUCGUGGGGCAGCAUGGGGUAGCAAUACUCUGAUGGCGACCGGCAAACGGGUGCGGAACACGUACGCAACCUUCCCAAAACUGGUGAAUAGCCCUCCGAAAGGAGGAUUAAUACACCGUAACAUAACGAAGUGGCAUCACUUUGUUAUUAUAGCUCCGGCGGUUUUGGAUGGGCGUGCGCCUGAUUAGGUAGUUGGCGGGGUAACGGCCCACCAAGCCUACGAUCAGUAACUGGUGUGAGAGCACGACCAGUCACACGGGCACUGAGACACGGGGCCCGACUCCUACGGGAGGCAGCAGUAAGGAAUAUUGGUCAAUGGGCGCAAGCCUGAACCAGCCAUCCCGCGUGCAGGAAGACGGCCCUAUGGGUUGUAAACUGCUUUUCCAGGGAGAGAACUUACGCACGUGUUGCGUGACUGACGGUACCCUGGGAAUAAGCAUCGGCUAACUCCGUGCCAGCAGCCGCGGU